AACGAACGCUAGCGGCAUGCCUAACACAUGCAAGUCGAACGAGACCUUCGGGUCUAGUUGCGCAGGGGUGCGUAACGCGUUGGAACCUGCCCUUAGGUUCUGAAUAACUCCCCGAAAGAGGUGCUAGUACCGGAGAAUGUCUUCGCACCAAAGAUUUAUCGCCUUUGGAUGGGCCCGCGUAGGAUUAGCUAGUUGGUAGGGUAAAAGCCUACCAUGGCGACGAUCCAUAGCUGGUAUGAGAGGAUGAUCAGCCACACUGGGACUGAGACACGGCCCAGACUCGUACGGGAGGCAGCAGUGGGGAAUAUUGGACAAUGGGCGAAAGCCUGAUACAGCAAUGCCGCGUGAGUGAUGAAGGCCUUAGGGUUGUAAAGCUCUUUUAACCGGGAUGAUACUGACAGUACCGGGAGAAUAAGCGCCGGCUAACUCCGUG
rnacentral:rRNA from 1 species